AUUGAACGCUGGCGGCAGGCCUAACACAUGCAAGUCGAGCGGAUGAAGGGGGCUUGCUCCUGGAUUCAGCGGCGGACGGGUGAGUAAUGCCUAGGAAUCUGCCUGGUAGUGGGGGAUAACGUCCGGAAACGGGCGCUAAUACCGCAUACGUCCUGAGGGAGAAAGUGGGGGAUCUUCGGACCUCACGCUAUCAGAUGAGCCUAGGUCGGAUUAGCUGGUUGGUGGGGUAAAGGCCUACCAAGGCGACGAUCCGUAACUGGUCUGAGAGGAUGAUCAGUCACACUGGAACUGAGACACGGUCCAGACUCCUACGGGAGGCAGCAGUGGGGAAUAUUGGACAAUGGGCGAAAGCCUGAUCCAGCCAUGCCGCGUGUGUGAAGAAGGUCUUCGGAUUGUAAAGCACUUUAAGUUGGGAGGAAGGGCAGUAAGUUAAUACCUUGCUGUUUUGACGUUACCAACAGAAUAAGCACCGGCUAACUUCGUG
rnacentral:rRNA from 1 species